AAUAGAUACCCAGGUAGUCCACGCCGUAAACGUUGGGCGCUAGGUGUGGGACUCAUUCCACGAGUUCCGUGCCGCAGCUAACGCAUUAAGCGCCCCGCCUGGGGAGUACGGCCGCAAGGCUAAAACUCAAAGGAAUUGACGGGGGCCCGCACAAGCGGCGGAGCAUGUGGAUUAAUUCGAUGCAACGCGAAGAACCUUACCAAGGCUUGACAUAUACCGGAAACACUCAGAGAUGGGUGCCCCGCAAGGUCGGUAUACAGGUGGUGCAUGGUUGUCGUCAGCUCGUGUCGUGAGAUGUUGGGUUAAGUCCCGCAACGAGCGCAACCCUCGUUCUAUGUUGCCAGCGCGUCAUGGCGGGGACUCAUAGAAGACUGCCGGGGUCAACUCGGAGGAAGGUGGGGAUGACGUCAAAUCAUCAUGCCCCUUAUGUCUUGGGCUUCACACAUGCUACAAUGGCCGGUACAAAGGGCUGCGAAACCGCGAGGUGGAGCGAAUCCCAAAAAACCGGUCUCAGUUCGGAUUGGGGUCUGCAACUCCG
rnacentral:rRNA from 1 species